CCUUCGAUAGCUCAGUUGGAAGAGCGUGAGACUGUAACUGGAAAUCCAAACGUGCAGUAGCACGUGACAUCUCAAGGUCACUGGUUCGAUCCCGGUUCGAAGGA